AUUCCAGCUCCAAUAGCGUAUAUUAAAGUUGUUGCAGUUAAAACGCUCGUAGUCGGAUUUCGGGGCGGGCCGACCGGUCUGCCGAUGGGUAUGCACUGGCCGGCGCGUCCUUCCACCCGGAGACCGCGCCUACUCUUAACUGAGCGGGCGCGGGAGACGGGUCUUUUACUUUGAAAAAAUCAGAGUGUUUCAAGCAGGCAGUCGCUCUUGCAUGGAUUAGCAUGGGAUAAUGAAAUAGGACUCUGGUGCUAUUUUGUUGGUUCAUACACUUAGAGAAUGAUUAACAGGGACAGUUGGGGGUAUUCAUAUUUACAUGUCAGAGGUGAAAUUCUUGGAUUUUGGAGAGAUGAACUACUGCGAAGGCAUUUACCAAGGAUGUUUUCAUCG
rnacentral:rRNA from 1 species